GACAGUAUGUCAUAUGUGUCCCUUGUGUGUAUGCACAGCUGAGGCAUCAUCAUUAGUGCCACACUCAUCCAAAUAUGCAUCUACUGCGACCAUGGUUGCUGAACUUACUCUUCAAAGCUUGUUUUGUAUCAUGAAAAUAUUCCACAGUAUGGAAGUGACAGAAAACAGUGGGCAUCUAGCAGCUUGAAAGAGCUCUUGAAAUGCAAUUGAUUUAGGAGCAUUGCUGACCAGGGAAGUUGAGAAUUUACAUAAACUACUUUGUGUAUUUUGUGUUCAUCUGGUGGUGUAAAUCAGCAGGUCGAGACAGUCAUGUAUGCGAUAAUUACUGUUGUGAAAGUUGGUAUGAUGGUAACCUACAAUAUUGGAACAGGCCUUGUGGUUGCUCGUAGGGAAGACAGCUCAUGUUCUCCACCUUCUGCAAUUUCUUCAUGUGGAAUAGGGUGGGGAGCACAGGCUGGAGGAGAAUUGACAGACUUCGUUAUAGUGUUGAGAUCAACUGAGGCUGUGAAGACAUUUGAUGGUACUGCUCAUUUUUCAGUUGGGGCUGGUUUGAGUGCAGCAGUUUGUGCCAUUGGAAGGGCUGCUGAAGCUGAUGUACGAGUGGGGGAUGGUGGCUGCGCUGCUUGUUAUACGUACAGCUGCAGUAAAGGUACUCAUCUAUAUAGCUAUUUUUCCUUUUAAACUGUGGAGUUGUCCUCUGGACUGAUUUUUGGGGUAUGUAUCCAUUGCUAUGCAAAAAAACAUGGAUAGUAUCCUAUGAUAUUAACCAUUUUAAUGUGAUAGUAUCCUAUGAUAUUAACCGUUUUAAUGGCCAUUGUCAUGCUGAGAGUGAAACGAAGUGAAGCUACUUACAAUCCUCUUGAAGUUAGAAAAGAUUAAAUCUAGAAACAAGACAGGAGCAAAUAUCCUAAAAUCUCUUCGGUUUCAUCAAUCAUAGAUACGUUGAUUCACAUGUUUUGUUUCCCAAUGCAGAAAACAAGUCUUUGGAGAGUCAAGUGGAGUAGCAGACAUCCUUACAAUGAGCCCUGUCUUUGCUGACAACUCGGAAAGUGAAGUGGAUGCAGACACCGAGGAAGCGAGACUUAGUAAUUGAAAUGUAAACAUUGCCGAUACUGUAAAGGUAAGGAGCACAAAGUUGGGAGAAAAUGCUCCUGUAGUUGCUGUAGAAGGUUUGAAAGAUCACGAGGAUCAUCCUGCAGAGCAAACUGCGGAAUUCAAGAAAGCACAAAUUAAUUUUUAAACAAGUCUCCGUUGAAAACCAAAGAAGACAGGGGAGCUGUCCUCAGAGUCACCGACGAUGAGCAUCCUGAGGACAUGGCUAUGUCAGAAUACUCCCAUGCUAUGGAACAUGAAGGGACAGACACACCAGACGACCAUGGCAUUGACUGCCAAAACUGUAAAUGAGCUUACAAUCAAGAACAAGAAAGAGUCAAUGGAGCGGGAAGUCUCUGCCAUGAUUGCAGAGUAUAUCGAUCUUGAGAA